rnacentral:rRNA from 1 species
UCGAGGAUCUUCGGCAAUGGGCGCAAGCCUGACCGAGCGACGCCGCGUGUGCGAUGAAGGCCUUCGGGUUGUAAAGCACUGUCGGGAGGAAGAAAAGCCGUAAGGCGUGAUCGACCUCCGGAGGAAGCACGGGCUAAGUUCGUGCCAGCAGCCGCGGUAAGACGAACCGUGCGAACGUUGUUCGGAAUCACUGGGCUUAAAGGGCGCGUAGGCGGGCUCGCCAGUCAGGGGUGAAAGCCCACGGCUCAACCGUGGAAGUGCCUUUGAUACUGCGAGUCUCGAGGGAGGUAGGGGCGUGCGGAACUUCCGGUGGAGCGGUGAAAUGCGUAGAUAUCGGAAGGAACACCGGUGGCGAAAGCGGCGCGCUGGACCUCUUCUGACGCUGAGGCGCGAAAGCCAGGGGAGCAAACGGGAUUAGAUACCCCUGUAGUCC